rnacentral:rRNA from 1 species
AGCGAACGCUGGCGGCGUGCUUAACACAUGCAAGUCGAGUGCGUAGCCCUUUGUAGCAAUACAGAGGGUGGGCGCACGGCGCACGGGUGAGUAACACGUGGGUAACCCUGCCCUUGGUGGGGAAUAACCCCGCGAAAGCGGGGCUAAUUCCGCAUAACAUUCCGGGGACACAUGUUCUCGGACUCAAAGGAGUGAUUCGCCGGAGGAGGGGCCCGCGCCCGAUUAGCUUGUUGGUAGGGUAACGGCCACCAAGGCUUUGAUCGGUAGCCGGUCUGAGAGGAUGGCCGGCCACACUGGAACUGAGACACGGUCCAGACUCCUACGGGAGGCAGCAGUGGGGAAUCUUGCGCAAUGGGCGAAAGCCUGACGCAGCGACGCCGCGUGGGGA